rnacentral:rRNA from 1 species
AUGGCCGUCGUCAGUUCGUACUGUGAAGCAUCCUGUUAAGUCAGGCAACGAGCGAGACCCACGCCCACAGUUGCCAGCGUACUCUCUGGAGUGACGGGUACACUGUGGGGACCGCCGCUGCUAAAGCGGAGGAAGGAAUGGGCAACGGUAGGUCAGUAUGCCCCGAAUAUCCCGGGCUACACGCGAGCUACAAUGGUUGGUACAAUGGGUAUCUACCCCGAAAGGGGACGGAAAUCUCCUAAAACCAAUCUUAGUUCGGAUUGAGGGCUGCAACUCGCCCUCAUGAAGCUGGAAUCCGUAGUAAUCGCGUUUCAACAGAACGCGGUGAAUACGUCCCUGCUCCUU